rnacentral:rRNA from 1 species
UGCUCCCGGAUGUUAGCGGCGGACGGGUGAGUAACACGUGGGUAACCUGCCUGUAAGACUGGGAUAACUCCGGGAAACCGGAGCUAAUACCGGAUAGUUCCUUGAACCGCAUGGUUCAAGGAUGAAAGACGGUUUCGGCUGUCACUUACAGAUGGACCCGCGGCGCAUUAGCUAGUUGGUGAGGUAACGGCUCACCAAGGCGACGAUGCGUAGCCGACCUGAGAGGGUGAUCGGCCACACUGGGACUGAGACACGGCCCAGACUCCUACGGGAGGCAGCAGUAGGGAAUCUUCCGCAAUGGACGAAAGUCUGACGGAGCAACGCCGCGUGAGUGAUGAAGGUUUUCGGAUCGUAAAGCUCUGUUGUUAGGGAAGAACAAGUGCAAGAGUAACUGCUUGCACCUUGACGGUACCUAACCAGAAAGCCACGGCUAACUACGUGCCAGCAGCCGCGGUAAUACGUAGGUGGCAAGCGUUGUCCGGAAUUAUUGGGCGUAAAGGGCUCGCAGGCGGUUUCUUAAGUCUGAUGUGAAAGCCCCCGGCUCAACCGGGGAGGGUCAUUGGAAACUGGGAAACUUGAGUGCAGAAGAGGAGAGUGGAAUUCCACGUGUAGCGGUGAAAUGCGUAGAGAUGUGGAGGAACACCAGUGGCGAAGGCGACUCUCUGGUCUGUAACUGACGCUGAGGAGCGAAAG